UUUCUUGAGCCAUUAUAGCUCUAAGCUCCUGAACUGUCAGGGGGUUGCCUAGCCCCUGACAGUUCCAACUGAGAAUCUUCAUGGUGUCUUUGGUGGCUUAUUAGGGCUAGCCACCAGAGCCCAAUCCUUCCCCUCUUUUACUAGCUGCAUAGGGGUAUCUAGUAAUUCCAUAUCAUCCAGAAGAGAAGAGGUGGGCCUUCGAGAAGCAGCAAUUGUUUUCCACUUCCCUCUUUGGCUGAUGAAAGCCUCUCUCUACCAUCUCUUUCCACCAAAGAAGAAGGGCUGUCUACUCGUUUCUUGUUCCAGGAAAGGGGAUUAAUUGUUUCAGUUUCUGCUCUUGCAGUAACUUCCAUAUUGACUGUCUCCACGGGAGUUUCAGAGAGCAGCAAGACGGCGCUGAUUUUCCUCAUCAGGCUCCAUUCCGGCAUCAGAUCAGUGGGUUUUUGGGGUUGAAAGUGGCUGAGGGAUCAAGAUUUCUUCAUAACUGUUCUGAGGAAGUUUUAUUGCUUUGGGUAUUGGGUGA